CGAGUGCAACCCCCGACACUAACGGCCUUUACGCGACAUCCGAGCAGCGUGUCUAUCCCAAAGGCCUAGGAGCAUUUGCCCGGCUCGGUCAAAUCUAGCGCAAGUUUGAAGCCUGCGGCCUCGCAAUUUUAGCAGCUUCGUUCCAGGCCAGGCUUCCUGACCACAGCCUCACCUUUGAGCAGCUCAGAGCCCUGCCUGCCAGGAUGCGAGCCACUGCCUGGAUCGUGGCUCUGCAGGGCCACCCAUGAUGGAACAGGUCGCCUGGUGAGGUGGACGCCCACCACCUCCAUGCCGAGAGGAGGGGGCCACAGCCCUGGCAUGCAGCCCUGCCCAGUAGCCCGGCACCUGCCCCUGCCACGCAGGAAGCCCCCCGGCCUGCCAGCAGCCUCAGGCCUCCCCGCUGUGGCGUGCCCGACCCAUCUGAUGGGCUGAGUGCCCGCAACCGACAGAAGAGGUUCGUGCUUUCUGGCGGGCGCUGGGAGAAGACGGACCUCACCUACAGGAUCCUUCGGUUCCCAUGGCAGUUGGUGCAGGAGCAGGUGCGGCAGACGAUGGCAGAGGCCCUAAAGGUAUGGAGCGAUGUGACGCCACUCACCUUUACUGAGGUGCACGAGGGCCGUGCUGACAUCAUGAUCGACUUCGCCAGGUACUGGCAUGGGGACGACCUGCCGUUUGAUGGGCCUGGGGGCAUCCUGGCCCAUGCCUUCUUCCCCAAGACUCACCGAGAAGGGGAUGUCCACUUCGACUAUGAUGAGACCUGGACUAUCGGGGAUGACCAGGGCACAGACCUGCUGCAGGUGGCAGCCCAUGAAUUUGGCCACGUGCUGGGGCUGCAGCACACAACAGCAGCCAAGGCCCUGAUGUCCGCCUUCUACACCUUUCGCUACCCACUGAGUCUCAGCCCAGAUGACUGCAGGGGCGUUCAACAC
rnacentral:misc_RNA from 1 species